GACCCGUAACUUCGGGAGAAGGAUUGGCUCUGAGGGCCGAGUCAGACAGACCGAGGUCAGGUACGUGUCGGUCCAGUUGGGGGCUGGUUUUUUUGCUGCUUUGCGUGCUUCGGUGCGCGUUGUGGUUAGGUUACUGAACUCUGACCCGGGUCGAUCGUGAGUAGUUUCAGCUGUUACUGUCCUACAGCCAGCAACGCGCGAGGACAUGUUCCACUAUGCGUCAAGCGGCUGUACUUCCAUGGUCUGGCUUGUGACGGCUAACUCAGAACUGGCAC
rnacentral:ncRNA from 1 species